GGGAUAAACCCACCUCCAUUUGAUAAAUACAAAAAUUUAGCUCCUGCUUCCCCACCGACGUAUUAUAAUGCUCCUAGCAUGGUUUAUCAUUAUUGUUCCUUUGAGCAGUCAGAAAAAUGUUUCUGGCAUUAUAACACCUAUUCUUUUAUGCUUUCCCUUAUUAUUAUUCUGCUGAUGUUUAGUGGAAUCCCUUUAGGAAAUAAGUUUUUAAGGGUUUUCCUAGUAAUUGCCAUGUGCUUCACAGUCCUAUACAUAUCACAAGCAUAUUUCUUCGCGGUCCUCUUAAGGAUGAAGCAGAGAGAUCAACAGGGGACUUUCGCAGAGGAAUCCUUAAAGUUAAUUGACAGGAAUUUGAUUCGUGCUAUGUUUCGCUUAAUUAUACUGUUGCAUAUUUGCUUCCUUCAUGAUGUGGCUGGUUCAGAAGAUCUGGAGAUGCAUCUCUAGAUUAAUAUUGUACUUAUGUUAAUCAAAUUCCUGUCAGCUU
rnacentral:misc_RNA from 1 species